rnacentral:rRNA from 1 species
UACGGGGGGGGGCAAGCGUUGUUCGGAAUUACUGGGCGUAAAGGGCUCGUAGGCGGCCAACUAAGUCAGACGUGAAAUCCCUCGGCUUAACCGGGGAACUGCGUCUGAUACUGGAUGGCUAGAGGUUGGGAGAGGGAUGCGGAGUUCCAGGUGUAGCGGUGAAAUGCGUAGAUAUCUGGAGGAACACCGGUGGCGAAGGCGGCAUCCUGGACCAAUUCUGACGCUGAGGAGCGAAAGCCAGGGGAGCAAACGGG